rnacentral:lncRNA from 1 species
GGAGAUAUCUGUUGCAGUUUCAAUCCACACUGAAGAUGAAAAGGAUCAUCCAAUUAUGACACAUCUCUGGUCGAGUUUGUACGUUCUGAGGAAAUUUCUAUUUACAUCAGAAGAAGUCAAAGGAGAACUCUUGUUAAAUGAACACUCAGACCACACUUAUGCAGCAAAAGAACAGCCAUUUGAGAAUGAAAAAAAAUAUGUACGCUUGAAUUUGAUUGCCAUGCUGAUUUUUUUCUUGCACCACUGGAAGGCACAGAGCAACUGAUUACACAAUACAUUUGUAAUUGAGAUAUUUGCAGUGAAUGAGACACACAAUGAACAUGAAGAACCUUGCCUUUCUCCCAUUCUCCCUUUCAGACUUUAUGCAAUUUAUUUACAAGUUAGCAUCAAUGAUACAUGUACAUAUAUCCUUAGCUGUACAGAUACCGAAAUUUGCAUACAGUUGAACUGUACCAGAUCAGUUGCAGGGAAAUUAGCAUGAAGCUCUCAGUUAUCAUUGACAGUAACAUUAUAAGUGAAUGUUUGAUAAUAAAAAUAUUAUUUAUACCUGGAAUGAGUUUUGUUCUCUUAUAUCUUGGUUUAAUUAUUGAAAAAAAGGAUGGAAUGAUGUGUAGUGAUAGUCUAGAUAUAUUGUAUACAUAAAUACUUGUUCUGAUUCUCAGUCUGACUGGUCCUUUUCAUUUCAGAAUAAUGGGAUGUAUGACAGUGGUUUUUUUUUACAGAAUGAUGUAAUUUGGUUUAUCCAAAAGCCACACCAAAUUAAUUGGUUUAUAUGAUUUAUAGAUAUGCUUACUGUGGGG